rfam:Oryzias latipes DNA, chromosome10, strain: Hd-rR.
ACCAGGAGGGCUGAGUGGUUAAGGCGUUGGACUCAAGAUCCAAUGAGUGUUUGCUCACGUGGGUUCAAAUCCCACUCCUGGUA